rnacentral:sRNA from 1 species
CUGCAGUAGCAGUGCUUUCUCCUCUGCUCACGGGGACCCGCUCAGGCUGGAGGCCAGCCAGCUCUUGCCGCCGCCUCGGUCGCGAUGGGGGCGCAGGACCGGCCGCAGUGCCACUUCGACAUCGAGAUCAACCGGGAGCCGGGUGAGCUGGAAACUGGGGAGCGCUGCUGGGGCCGAGGCCUGCUUUGGCGAAGGGGAGGGGUCUACCCUCAGCAACCCUCCCCCCGGCCUUUUUGGGAGCGGGUAGGAGGCGCAGGCAACUUUCCGUUUUCUUUUGAGAGAGUAUCAGUGGAAGAGGAAGGUGGCCUGGGCACACCCCUAACUCGCAGUCCGGGCCUCUUCCUGCCAAACCCCACACACCCCGCUGCAUCUCCGGACUGAGUCCUCGUAGCCAGCCUGGCGCCAAGAAAAGGAGGUGCAGUUCUUUGAGGACUUUUUCUCUCCCAGUGUCUCCGUGAGGCAGACACUCCCGAUCCGAUUUCCGGUUAUCUUGCUCGGUGCUAUGAAGUUUCAACUAGUAGGAAAUAUUGUGUGUUUCCUAAUCACGAUAUGUCACUAAUAUGUUAACGUUGCCUCUAUUUUUCCUUAAGAAUCUUUAGCUAGAAUUUCGUGGUUCCUGGGAAAAUGGCUUAGUGAACGUCUUUUGUGAUAAACCAGAGCAUUUUGUACCAGCAGAAUUGCAGCAUGCAUGCACUUAGCAUUCAUGUUUGUCUUUAGGGAAUCUAGACAUUUGUUAGUGUAUUUUUUUUUUUUAAUGAAACAUUUCCUUCUAAAGCAUAGUUAUUUCAUUCUAAGUAGCAGAGCGUGCAGGGUUUCAAAGUGUUUUCUUAGCUUUUUUUGUUAUCCGUGACAAAAGUUUUAAUUGUAGGCAUAUGUAUAUAUAUGUUGUCUUUGUGCAACAUCUUGUUCUGCAUAUUCUCAUGAGAGCCUGCUACUGUUCUAGGGUCUGGAGAUAGAGCAGCGCGUAAAACAAAGGCCUCUUCCUUUUAUAGUUUAUAUUCUAUUGGGGGGAAGACGGACAACUAGGAAAAAAAUAACAGUGACUUGUAGGUGGGAUACUAUUUUAAUAAGUUGGUCAGACAAGGCCAUUUUGAGAAGAUGACAUUUAAGCAGGUAUCAGAAGGACAUGAAGUGAGCCGUAUUUAAGAAGAGCAUUGGUAGUAGAGGGAAACAGCACAGCCCUGAGGUGAGGAGUAGUGUACAGUCAGGCGCCAAAUAACAUUUCUGUCUCUAACAACGGUCUUAUAUAUAACACCUUUUUUUGGUAACUUUUUAAUGUUUAGCUGUGUUUAGAUAGACAAAUACUUCAUUGUGUUAAAGUUGCCUACGGUAUUCAGUGGAGUAACAUCCUGUACAGGUUUGUAGCCUAGGAGCAAAUAGACCAUAUAGCAUAGGUGUGUAGUAGGCCGUACCAUCUAGGUGUGUUUAAGUACAUUCCAUGAUGUUCACACAAUGACGAAAUUGCCUAAUUACACAUUUCUCAGAAUCCGUCCUGGUUAUUAAACAAUGGAGGACUGUACUUGCAUGUUUGAGGGACAGCAAGGUGCCCAGUGUGGCUGGAGUAGAACAGGGAAGAGAAUAGUAGGAAAUGGCCUGUAGGACUGACUCAGUGAGGUAGGAAGAUAUUAAAGGGUUUUGAGCAAAGGGAUGAGAUAAUCCUAGAAAUUUGGUUGCCUUCUCUCUCUCUCUUUAAUGUUUUUAGCCUUGAUUGAUCUUUUUUUUUUUUUUAAAUAAGUGUUACUAGAAAGCCUUGAUGGACCUUAAUCUUUAUUCUGUAGUGAAUCCAUGCUUCAGGUAACACGGUUAUUUUUUAUUAAGAAUUAAAAUAGCUCACGCCUGUAAUCCCAGCACUUUGGGAGGCAGACGCGGAUGGAUCAUUUUGAGAUCAGGAGUUCGAGACCAGCCUGGCCAACAUGGUGAAACCCCAUCUCUACAAAAAAAUACAAAAAUUAGCUGGGCAUGGUGUCUCUCUUAGUUUUUGCCUGUAGUCCCAGCUAUUUGGGAGGCUGAGGCUGAAGGAUUGCUUGAGCCUGGGAAGCAGAGGUUGCAGUGAGUAGAGAUUAUACCACUGCAUGUCAGCCUGGGUGACGGAGUGAGACCCUGUCUCCAAAAAAAAAAAAAAAAACAACAAAAGAAAAA